ensembl:lncRNA
GGACAUUUCUCUCAGUCAACAGUCAAUCAGGUUGAUCAACGUGAAAGUGCUGACAUGAAGCUUGGGUUGCUUGUCGUGGUGGCUGUGGCAGUUGUGCUGCCCAGCUUUUCUGAGAGCAGGAUUGUCUCCAAAUGUGAGCUCAAAGACAAGCUCGGGAAAAUGAUCAAUCUGCCCAGAAACUCAAAGGAAAAAAUCUUGGCAAUAGUUAUCUGUGACGUGAAACGGAGGUCUGAUCUGAACACCGCUUUGGUCACAUCAUUUGGAAAGUGCACUAACACUACUACUAGCCCAACUAGUACUAACUCCACCAUCAGCUCAGUGAACACAACCCUUGAGUCAAACAGCACAAGUAGCAGUGAGGAAGACAGCAGUGAGGAGGAGAGCAGGCAAAUUAACGGAGGAGUGGAAGACAGCAGGGAGGAGGAAAAUUUGACGCCUUUGUCCCUCAGCCUUUACGGGCUCUUCCAGCUGUCUGACAGGAAGUUCUGUGAUUCAGGGUAUUGCCCAUCUGAAAAUUUGUGUAAUACCUCCUGCACAGCCUUUAACGACGAGGACAUAACUGAUGAUAUUGCUUGUGUUAUCCAGACUGGAUACUGGAAGGAGAUUGAGAUGACAGCCUCAGAGUCAUGUCGUCACAACUGGAAUUGCUUCAAAGAAUAAAGUGCUGACAUGAAACUCGGGUUGCUUGUUGUGGUGGCUGUGGCAGUUCUGCUGCCCAGCUUUUCUGAGAGCCGGAUCGUCUCCAAAUGCGAGCUCCAAGACAAGCUUGGGAAAGUGAUACGUCUGCCCAGGACACUCUUGGCUAUAAUUGUCUGUGAAGUGGACAGGAUCUCUCAUCUGAACACCAGCUUGGUCAAUGUGCUUGGCAAGCGCACAACUACCACACUAAAGCCAACAACCCCCUCCACAACAGCAGUCACCUUAACGACCACUGGAGCGACGACACUGACAAGCACCAACUCAGCAACCACUGACCUGACUGCUACUACUACUACUACUUCUACUGCUAUUACUACUACUACUACUGUCAUGACUACUAGCCCUGCGAUUACUAACUCCACCAUCAGCUCAGUGAACACAACCCUUGUGUCAAACAGCACAAGUGGCAUGAACAGAAGAAAGCGACAUGCUCACUCGAGCAGUGAGGAGGAGAUCGGGCAAACUGGCGGAGGAGUGGAAGACAGCAGUGAGGAGGAAAACUUGAAGCCUUCGUCCCUCGGCCUUUACGGGCUCUUCCAGCUGCCUGACAACAUUUUCUGUAAUUCGGGGCUUCGUCCAUCCAGAAAUGUUUGCCGCACCUCCUGCAACUCCUUCACUGACAAUAACAUAACUGACGAUAUUGCUUGUUUCAUCAACACUGGUUACUGGAGGAACAUUGUGAGGAGAGCCUCUCGCUCAUGUCGUCACAACAUGAAUUUCUUAAGAGAAUGUAAAUAAGUGGAUGUGGAAUCACAGUUUUUCCCUGCAGAAUCACAAAAAAUUCUUCACAGUUUCCAUCUCCAGUGAUCUGUGAUUAAGGAACCGCAUGCUCCAUUAUCUACUUUACCUUAUGAAGCACUAUUUUCUUUCUUUGGUGGAGGAAUCUUUCAAUAAACAUUACUUUGCAGCAUAUAUACA